GGGGAAUUUUGGACAAUGGGGGCAACCCUGAUCCAGCCAUGCCGCGUGAGUGAAGAAGGCCUUCGGGUUGUAAAGCUCUUUCGGACGGAAAGAAAUCGCCGCCUCUAACAUAGGCGGUGGAUGACGGUACCGUAAGAAUAAGCACCGGCUAACUUCGUGCCAGCAGCCGCGGUAAUACGAAGGGUGCAAGCGUUAAUCGGAAUUACUGGGCGUAAAGCGCGCGUAGGUGGUUCGUUAAGUUGGAUGUGAAAGCCCCGGGCUCAACCUGGGAACUGCAUCCAAAACUGGCGAGCUAGAGUAUGGCAGAGGGUGGUGGAAUUUCCUGUGUAGCGGUGAAAUGCGUAGAUAUAGGAAGGAACACCAGUGGCGAAGGCGACCACCUGGGCUAAUACUGACACUGAGGUGCGAAAGCGUGGGGAGCAAACA
rnacentral:rRNA from 1 species